AAGAACCUUACCGGGGCUUGACAUCUGCGGAAAUCCCAUGAAAGUGGGCUUCGGGGCAACCCGACCGCAAGACAGGUGCUGCAUGGCUGUCGUCAGCUCGUGCCGUGAGGUGUUGGGUUAAGUCCCGCAACGAGCGCAACCCUUGUCGUGUGUUGGUCCACAAGAUCUCUCACACGAGACCGCCGGCGAGAAGCCGGAGGAAGGUGGGGAUGACGUCAAGUCAGCAUGGCCCUUACGUCCCGGGCUACACACGUGCUACAAUGCGCGCGACAGCGAGCCGCAAACUUGUGAAAGUAAGCCAAUCUCUGAAACGCGCGCUCAGUUCGGAUUGAAGGCUGCAACUCGCCUUCAUGAAGUCGGAAUCGCUAGUAAACGCAGAUCAGCUACGCUGCGUUGAAUACGUUCCCGGGCCUUGUACACACCGCCCGUCACGUCACCUGAGUUUAGUGUACCCGAAGCCGUCCGUGCAACCGCAAGGAGCAAGACGUCUAAGGUAUGCUAGGUAAGGGGGACGAAGUCGUAACAAGGUAGCCGUA
rnacentral:rRNA from 1 species